rnacentral:rRNA from 1 species
UACGAAGGGGGCUAGCGUUGUUCGGAAUCACUGGGCGUAAAGGGCGCGUAGGCGGCCGAUUAAGUCGGGGGUGAAAGCCUGUGGCUCAACCACAGAAUUGCCUUCGAUACUGUUUGGCUUGAGACCGGAAGAGGUAAGUGGAACUGCGAGUGUAGAGGUGAAAUUCGUAGAUAUUCGGAAGAACACCAGUGGCGAAGGCGGCUCACUGGUCCGGUACUGACGCUGAGGUGCGAAAGCGUGGGGAGCAAACAGG